ensembl:snoRNA
CUGCAUCCCCUGACAGAUCUUGAACAAUCUGAUGUUGUCCUUUUGGUUUGCACUAGGAUGCGAAAGAAAAAAAAAAUCCCCGUGCUUUCUGCCUUUGUGGCGGCCCAGAUUGAACAGAGGAAUACAUCU